rnacentral:rRNA from 1 species
GACGAACGCUGGCGGCGUGCUUAACACAUGCAAGUCGUGCGGUAAGGCCCUUUCGGGGGUACACGAGCGGCGAACGGGUGCGUAACACGUGAGCAACCUGCCCUUCCCUUUGGGAUAACUGCCGGAAACGGUGGCUAAUACCGGAUAUGACUUCCUCACGCAUGUGGGGUGGUGGAAAGCCUUCGGGUGGUAGGGGAUGGGCUCGCGGUCUAUCAGCUUGUUGGUGGGGUGAUGGCCUACCAAGGCUUCGACGGGUAGCCGGCCUGAGAGGGUGAGCGGCCACAAUGGGACUGAGACACGGCCCAGACUCCUACGGGAGGCAGCAGGGGGGAAUAUUGGACAAUGGGCGAAAGCCUGUGCCAGCAACGCCGCGUGAGGGAUGACGGCCUUCGGGUUGUAAACCUCUUUCGCCUGCGACGAAGCGAGAGUGACGGUAGCAGGUAAAGAAGCACCGGCCAACUACGUG